UACGUAGGUGGCGAGCGUUAUCCGGAAUGAUUGGGCGUAAAGGGUGCGUAGGCGGCCUGCUAAGUCUGGAGUAAAAGGUACCGGCUCAACCGGUACAGGCUCUGGAAACUGGCGGGCUAGAGAGCAGGAGAGGGCGAUGGAACUCCAUGUGUAGCGGUAAAAUGCGUAGAUAUUAGGAGGAACACCAGUUGCGAAGGCGGCUCUCUGGACUGUAACUGACACUGAGGCACGAAAGCGUGGGGAGCAAACAGG
rnacentral:rRNA from 1 species